UAUGUUUGAAGUGAGUAUUUUGAGAAUUAAUGGCAAUGUGGCUUUUACUGAAAUAAUUUUUAAUAUUUCAGUACAACUGUAUAGCUUGAUCUCCCCUAGCAAAUGAAACUGUUUUCCUAAAAUACAACCAUUUUAGGGUGAGAAUGUUUCUACUCUCUCACCACUAAACUACACUGAAACAGAUUUUCUGCUGAACUGACCCAGACUAGCAAAAUGUUUCUAAAUUCAUAUACCUAGGAACUCACACAACAUUUUCUCUAGGGAAAAUAUUCUGCUACUCUUCUCUCUGAAGUUCAGCCCUGAUUGCACAACAGAAAUUGCAGCUACCCUGCUAUGCCUGAAAGUACCCUCCAGAAAGAAAUUAAGUGUGUUCAGAAGAUCAGCUUUCCUCUUAAAUGACAUGAAUAGGGAUGUGAGGCAAAAAUGAGAAAAGGCACUCAAGGAACACUCUCCCAUUGCUUGAAGGAACAGGUGGCAGAGCUGUAAUAUCAACAGGAAAGACUUGAUAUCAGACUUUUCUGUGGACUUCUCUGGCUCAGUUUAGUCACUGUUGUCUGUCUGUCAUGGUUCUGUAGUAACUGUGUCAGAAUUUGUUUUCUAGGUCAAUCUUGAAAUCAAUUGAAUUUAGGAAGAAUUUUGUGUGAGAUACUGGGCCCGUGUUGGCAUGCUUAGCAACAAAGCAACAUACUUCGCAUAAAAGGCCCAUGCCAUGCCAACAGCUGUAUACAUACACAUGCAUGUAGAAGUGAUAUGAGUAUAUAUACUGGUACUGCUUCUUUCUGAGCAUGAUAGUGAGGAUGAAAACAUGCACUGCUUCAUGGGAUGUUUCAUUUCAACUGGUCAAAGUAGAAGAAACUAUCUUCUCAAACCUGGUCUGCAUCAAAUAAGUGGGAGAUGACAAAGAGUGACAAACAGGAAUUAAAAAUUAUAUUGGAAAUUGCUGAGAAUUAAACAAGUCACAUGUCAGGUAAAUAAUUAAAUGUACAAAGGAUACCUUCCAAAAAUUGGUGAGACUUAUGAUUUUAAAGUUAUUAAGAUUAAAGUGGCACUCUGAUUGUGGGGACACCUCUAUGUACACCUUUUACCUUCCUUCUUAGCAUGACUAUAUACGUUUGUAAACCUACACAUGCGCAAACUUAGAGAAGCCAAAGGUUGGGUUUUAGUUAUUUUUUGUUCCAUCCAUAAAGUUACAUGUCCUUUCCUCAAUCAAUUUAUGUUCAACCAAGUAAUAUGCUGAGAAGUAGAUCAUAGUUCACCAUGGGAGACAGUCUGUCAUCACUGUUAUAGAAACAGCUAGAGAGAAUGUAUCAAAGUAUUAAAGUACAUUUUGAGGAAAAUAAGUGUCUGGGAGUGAAUGCAGGGCAGAUGAGGCAUUACAAUUGGCACUGCCAAAGUUCUGUAUGUUUUGACAUUUCUUGCAUCAUGUGUGUAUUUGCAGAUGUUAAUGUGGGCAGUAAUAAAAUUGAAUGGUUUCAGGGCUACAUGGUGAGUCUCUGAGCCCUGUUUAAGCUAACAUAAAGUAUAAAGAAGCUGUCUCGAUGAAUUUGUGCUGACUUUCUUCUUGUCUUUUAGGAGCUGAAAGAGUGUUUAUUUAUAAGCAUCACCCCCCUGGAAAUGUUUGUCGUGGCGCUGAACCGAAACUGCCCGGCUGCAUUUGGCACCCGACCGUGGGGGAAGAAGCUGGACAUUGUAUGGCCAAGAGCACAGUCUGUGUUCCUGUGGUUGACUUUUGGAACUGGUUUUGUUUCUUUGUGAUCAGGGGUCGUACUUGAUUUCUCAGGGGCUGGUUUUGGAUGAAACAAAAAAAGAUUCCUGGUGGCCCCAUAAACUAUUGCCUCAUAUUUAUCAAGAAAUAUGAGUGAUUUCAUUUUCAGUGGAUAAAAAGCAAAAAAGCACCCAAAAUAUCGUAAGAAAAACAACCACAUGCAGAAAAGAGUCGCUAGAUAGCCCUGAGAUAUUCUGUUUAUCUCAAUAUUCCGCCUCCUUUGGAUCUUCUUUGUCUUCCUCUUUGGCCUUGGUUUGGCAAGUGCGAGGUGAAAAUUAAGGCACUCGAUAGCCUCCUCGCCCGCAUGCUCCACGUGCCUCUUCAGCUAUUCCAUGGUGCGGAAGAGCUUGUGGCAUCCCAUGCACUGGAAUUCAUCUUCCAGGCCCACCGGCUCAUCCGGGGCUUGGAUGCUGCCCCCUGCCUCCUGAUCCCGAGGCCCUGAUGGUCUCUCAGCCUCUUCCCUUUGCUCCUGGACUUCACUGGGGGAGCGGUCCUCACUAUCACUUAGUGUCCCUUACGGAAGGGAGGCUGAGCUUUGGAAGCAGCUUCCUAGGAAUGCUAACACUUGCUGCUCUUAUCCUCUUUUGGGGCGGCUCCAGGUCUUCUGCAUCCCCUAAGGCAUCUGCACCCCUUUUCUUUGGGACUUGCAUGUAGUAAACUUUCAUGACGCGUUUCUUUUCAGAAGAUUCUGAAGAUGAUGAGUGGCUAUCCAAGAAGCAUGGGGAAGGGGAACGCAAGUUAUAACGUAAUUUCUCCCUUUCCAUCAUGUCUUCAUCUAAAGGCAUCUCCGGUGAUCCAAGACCUGCAACAUAUUGAG